CAACGGAGAGGACGCCGUUGGAUAACAGACUCAGGACGAGGGUCAGGAGCGCCAGGAGGCGAAGACGAAAGGAUUGUCAGGAAGACAAAACGUCCGGAGACGUUAGUGUAAGGAUAAGGAACUGCACACGGAACGUUCACGCUAAGGGAAAGACAGGGUUCGUCGAUAGCAGACAAGGAAUGUGAAACCCGAAUGGGUUGUGAGUCAAGAAAAAGGCGGCAGAUUACUCUGUCGCCUUUUUUCUUUGUGCGGAU
rnacentral:sRNA from 1 species